CCUACGGGUGGCAGCAGUGAGGAAUAUUGGUCAAUGGGCGAGAGCCUGAACCAGCAAAGUCGCGUGAGGGAGUAGUGCCCUAUGGGUUGUAAACAUCUUUUGUCGGGGAGCAAAAGCCGGACGUGUCCGGCUGUGAGAGUACCCGAAGAAAAAGCAUCGGCUAACUCCGUGCCAGCAGCAGCGGUAAUACGGAGGAUGCGAGCGUUAUCCGGUUUUAUUGGGUUUAAAGGGUGCGCAGGCGGAUUAUUAAGUCAGCGGUCAACUCGUGGGGCUCAACCCCAUCCAGCCGUUGAAACUGGUUUUCUUGAGUGAGCGAGAAGUAUGCGGAAUGCGGGGUGUAGCGGUGAAAUGCAUAGAUAUCACGCAGAACUCCGAUUGCGAAGGCAGCAUACCGGCGCUCAACUGACGCUCAUGCACGAAAGUGUGGGUAUCGAACAGGAUUAGAUACCCUAGUAGUC
rnacentral:rRNA from 1 species